AAAUUUGAAACUUUAAAAGUAUUUUAAUUUCGAAUUAAAAAAAGAUAUUAUAUUAUAUCCAAAUUUU
rnacentral:tRNA from 2 species